UACGAGUGGUGCAAGCGUUAUUCGGAAUGAUUGGGCGUACAGGGUGCGCAGGCGGCAUGGUAAGUCAGCUGUUAAAAACCUCAGCCUAACUGGGGAUCGGCGGCAGAUACUGCUAUGCUAGAGGAUGGAAGAGAGAAGUGGAAUUCUUGGAGUAGCGGUAAAAUGCGUAGAUCUCAAGAGGAACACCGAUGGCGAAGGCAGCUUCUUGGUCCAUAUCUGACGCUCAGGCACGAAAGCGUGGGGAGCAAACAGG
rnacentral:rRNA from 1 species